CCCUUAGACGUUCUGGGCCGCACGCGCGCUACACUGACCAGUGCAACAAGCAUCCGUCCUUGGCCGACAGGCCCGGGCAAUCUUUGAACGCUGGUCGUGAUGGGGAUAGACUUUUGCAAUUUUUGGUCUUCAACGAGGAAUUCCUAGUAAACGCCAGUCAUCAACUUGCAUUGAUUACGUCCCUGCCCUUUGUACACACCGCCCGUCGCACCUACCGAUUGAAUGGUCCGGUGAAGCCUCCGGAUUGGCGCGCACCUCGGUGCCGCCGAGAAGUUGGCUAAACCUUACCAUUUAGAGGAAGGUGAAGUCGUAACA
rnacentral:rRNA from 1 species